GUUCAUUUUUGUUCGGUCACAAGAUGCAUCUGCGAGUCUCCGUCGUUCUUCUAUUUGUUCUUCUCACUGGAGGUUUCUCUCUGGUCUGCUAUAAUUGCACGGAUCAACUAGAAGGUCCUUGUAAAGAACAGAUGGCAUGUGACCAUGAACAAAGCAAGUGUGCAAGUAGAAUAACAUUAAAAAUUGAAAACACAGAACAAUGUAUAGUACAUGCAGAGACCACUGAGACAAGUUGUGCAAAGCCAGAUGAAUGUGAAUCGUGGUCCUUUAGCAAACACAUCUGGAGAAAAUCAGUUUUUGUCCAGUGCUGUGACACAGACUUGUGUAAUGAACAAAACAACACAGGUUUCAUCCUCUCUUUUACUGUGAACUAUAAUCACCAUUUAAGAGAACAUUUAAAAAUGACUCCUAAGCUAUUAUUGAAUCGACUUCUUUUUUUUUUUAACCAGCUAAUGGAACGUUCUCAGAACUUCGCUAACAUUCAUUCUCUUAGAGUAAUAGAACA